rnacentral:rRNA from 1 species
AAGUCGUAACAAGGUCUCCGUAGGUGAACCUGCGGAGGGAUCAUUACACAAAUAUGAAGGCGGGCUGGAACCUCUCGGGGUUACAGCCUUGCUGAAUUAUUCACCCUUGUCUUUUGCGUACUUCUUGUUUCCUUGGUGGGUUCGCCCACCACUAGGACAAACAUAAACCUUUUGUAAUUGCAAUCAGCGUCAGUAACAAAUUAAUAAUUACAACUUUCAACAACGGAUCUCUUGGUUCUGGCAUCGAUGAAGAACGCAGCGAAAUGCGAUAAGUAGUGUGAAUUGCAGAAUUCAGUGAAUCAUCGAAUCUUUGAACGCACAUUGCGCCCUUUGGUAUUCCAAAGGGCAUGCCUGUUCGAGCGUCAUUUGUACCCUCAAGCUUUGCUUGGUGUUGGGCGUCUUGUCUCUAGCUUUGCUGGAGACUCGCCUUAAAGUAAUUGACAGCCGGCCUACUGGUUUCGGAGCGCAGCACAAGUCGCACUCUCUAUCAGCAAAGGUCUAGCAUCCAUUAAGCCUUUUUUUCAACUUUUGACCUCGGAUCA